UUGCAGCUAUAUCACAUUGAAACACCAGUUUUCAUACGAUCACCAAAGUUAAGCAAUGUCAGACCGGGUCAGUACUUAGAUGGGUGUCUGCUUGGGAAUACCAAUUGCUGUAAG